UCCGGUUUGGCAACAUGUGACGGGGGUUGCGCUCGUUGCGGGACUUAACCCAACAUCUCACGACACGGGCUGACGACAGCCAUGCACCACCUGUGAAGGUGCCCCGAAGGGAAGACGUGUUUCCACGCCGGUCACCUACAUGUCAAGCCGAGGUAAGGUUCUGCGCGUUGCAUCGAAUUAAACCACACGCUCCGCUGCUUGUGCGGGCCCCCGUCAAUUCCUUUGAGUUUUAGCCUUGCGGCCGUAGUCCCCAGGCGGCGGACUUAGUGCGUUAGCUGCGGCGCCGAGGGGGUCGAUACCCCCGACACCUAGUCCGCAUCGUUUACGGCGUGGACUAC
rnacentral:misc_RNA from 1 species